rnacentral:piRNA from 1 species
CAGAGAUGCAGAGGCUGAUGACAUCAGAA